CUAUACUGUGAAACUGCGAAUGGCUCAUUAAAUCAGUUAUCGUUUAUUUGAUAGUACCUUACUACAUGGAUAACCGUGGUAAUUCUAGAGCUAAUACAUGCUAAAAACCUCGACUUCGGAAGGGGUGUAUUUAUUAGAUAAAAAACCAAUGCCCUUCGGGGCUCCCUGGUGAUUCAUAAUAACUUAACGAAUCGCAUGGCCUUGUGCCGGCGAUGGUUCAUUCAAAUUUCUGCCCUAUCAACUUUCGAUGGUAGGAUAGUGGCCUACCAUGGUUUCAACGGGUAACGGGGAAUUAGGGUUCUAUUCCGGAGAAGGAGCCUGAGAAACGGCUACUACAUCCAAGGAAGGCAGCAGGCGCGCAAAUUACCCAAUCCCGACACGGGGAGGUAGUGACAAUAAAUACUGAUACAGGGCUCUUUUGAGUCUUGUAAUGGAAUGAGUACAAUUAAAUACCUAACGAGAACAUGGAGGGCAAGUCUGGUGCCAGCAGCCGCGGUAAUUCCAGCUCCAAUAGCGUAUAUUAAAGUUGUUGCCGUUAAAAAGCUCGUAGUUGUCCCUUGGGCCUGGUUGGCCGGUCCGCCUCACCGCGUGCACUCGUCCGACCGGGUCUUUCCUUCUGGGGAGCCGCAUGCCCUUCACUGGGUGUGUCGGGGAACCAGGACUUUUACUUUGAAAAAAUUAGAGUGUUCAAAGCAGGCCUAUGCUCGAAUACAUUAGCAUGGAAUAAUAGAAUAGGACGUGUGGUUCUAUUUUGUUGGUUUCUAGGACCGCCGUAAUGAUUAAUAGGGAUAGUCGGGGGCAUCAGUAUUCAAUUGUCAGAGGUGAAAUUCUUGGAUUUAUUGAAGACUAACUACUGCGAAAGCAUUUGCCAAGGAUGUUUUCAUUAAUCAGUGAACGAAAGUUAGGGGAUCGAAGACGAUCAGAUACCGUCGUAGUCUUAACCAUAAACUAUGCC
rnacentral:rRNA from 1 species